rnacentral:ncRNA from 2 species
UCUAUGAUAUGAUUUCAGUGUUAUAUAGGUUUGUAAUUGGUCAAACGUUUCUACGAACUACCGUAAUAGUUUACUAUAACAAUUAUGGUAGUUUUU